AUAGUGGGCGCAUCCAGCGCAAUAGUACUCCAAUUUACCGCGCAGAGUUUGAUUCAUUGCGCACUAUAAUUGUGUUAUGUUUACGUUGCAAGAUUUACAAGAAAGUAAGUGGUAGACACUGAUAAAACUUGCAGAAUUUUAUAACAAGUCAUAAAAGAGGAAGUCAAGAGUUCACUGGAAAAAAAGAACGCGAUCGAUCAGUGAAAAAAUCUUUGUUCGCACGGUGGCGCUGUGAGUACGAGAACAGAGUCCAACAGUGGAUCGUGCUGAUUACGUACGGACACUUUUUCUUCGGGAAUUACCGCGGGAAGGGGAAUAUCUCUUGCUGGAGUAAACUGUUCGCAAUUGUGGCAAGAUGUUACAAGAGUGGCGCUUGAUGUGGCAAGAAAUCGUAUCAGGGUAAAUCGAGUUAUCCCGAAGUGUGCCAUCGAAUCUACAUAACUGGAGCAGAAUUGUAAGUUUAAACGGAUACAAAUAAAGAAUUAAGCAGCGAUGCCUUUAUUUAUUCUGGGUAAUCGAGCACGGACGAUUUCCUAAUUCCGCGUUUACGGGGGAAACAGUUGCCUAAUCCUAAAAUCAUCCUCUCCAGUCGUAACGAGCAGGUAAUUCGUGUUCUCCUCGCUAAAACAGAUUACACGGCGACGGUUUUCAAUGAUAAUUUAAGCAUCGUGGAGCGUGGUAAUUGCUUUUUAUCUCCAAACGAUAAAACAGCCGUUACACAAAAAAUGGCAAAACUAAUUGCGGCGUGGUUUCGCGAAAACGUUCAAAUUGAAAACACUUUUUGUUCAUUUUCAUUUAUUGAUUUCCCUCAGACGCGACAGUUCAUUACGAUAAAAAAACUAAUUCUAUAAAUUGAAUAUUUUCGAAGGCGGUUCAGGCGUUUGGACAAUGUACAUUUUUGGUGACGUUUAAUGGUCUUAAUUAUCUUUUAAUGGUAUGCUAGGUAAUUUAUGUAUCGGGUUAAACGUCCAUGCAAACUUGUCAUUCCCUUGUAAUUUACCUUAACUGCAAAGUCUCUUUCAGAACACCUCUCUUUCUACUCACAUUACGUUCAGACCUUCGCCAUUUCUGACAUGUCUUCAACCAAAUUUCAGUACUUUUAAAAACUUCUAUGAUUUUCACUUGUUUGCUCAGUACAAUUUAUCUCCUUAUAUAACCUCUUCGGUGACUUUCUUCAAACUUAGAAAUAAUUUAAUUUUUCUUACGAAGUCAGCUUUUAAAUUCUCAAGAUUAACGUUCUUAAAUCCAUCUGAAUGUUAUGCAAGGGAAAUAUAUGUCCACGUACGUGUUCACUAUUCAAAAAAAGACUAAACAUGUACGACAUAAAAGUACAUCAGUAAAAGUGAUAUUUUACAAAAUACAUAAGAGCUAAAGCGCAGAGUGUUUCCGAUUAUGAUACCCAGGGCAAGUUUGCCACUUACAUUA